GACGAACGCUGGCGGCGUGCCUAACACAUGCAAGUCGAACGGGAUCCAUACUAUGAAGUCUUCGGAUGGAUUAGUAUGGUGAGAGUGGCGGACGGGCGAGUAACGCGUGAGCAACCUGCCCUAUACUGGGGGAUAACACCGGGAAACCGGUGCUAAUACCGCAUAAGACUACGAGAUCGCAUGGUUUUGUAGUCAAAGCUCCGGCGGUAUAGGAUGGGCUCGCGUCCAAUUAGCUAGUUGGUGAGGUAACGGCCCACCAAGGCGACGAUUGGUAGCCGAACUGAGAGGUUGAUCGGCCGCAUUGGAACUGAGACACGGUCCAGACUCCUACGGGAGGCAGCAGUGGGGGAUAUUGCACAAUGGAGGAAACUCUGAUGCAGCGACGCCGCGUGAGUGAAGAAGGCCUUCGGGUCGUAAAGCUCUGUCCUAGGGGAAGAUAAUGACGGUACCCUAGGAGGAAGCCCCGGCUAACUACGUG
rnacentral:rRNA from 1 species